rnacentral:rRNA from 1 species
GAUGAACGCUGGCGGCGUGCCUAAUACAUGCCAGUCGAGCGAACAGACGAGGAGCUUGCUCCUCUGACGUUAGCGGCGGACGGGUGAGUAACACGUGGAUAACCUACCUAUAAGACUGGGAUAACUUCGGGAAACCGGAGCUAAUACCGGAUAAUAUAUUGAACCGCAUGGUUCAAUAGUGAAAGACGGUUUUGCUGUCACUUAUAGAUGGAUCCGCGCCGCAUUAGCUAGUUGGUAAGGUAACGGCUUACCAAGGCAACGAUGCGUAGCCGACCUGAGAGGGUGAUCGGCCACACUGGAACUGAGACACGGUCCAGACUCCUACGGGAGGCAGCAGUAAGGAAUCUUCCGCAAUGGGCGAAAGCCUGACGGAGCAACGCCGCGUGAGUGAUGAAGGUCUUCGGAUCGUAAAACUCUGUUAUUAGGGAAGAACAAAUGUGUAAGUAACUAUGCACGUCUUGACGGUACCUAAUCAGAAAGCCACGGCUAACUACGUG